CCAGACCCAAUAAUAUCUUUAGUUUAUGCUCCAACCCACUCCACCAGCAGCCCCAACUCGCCCUAAAACCUCAUAUUUCUCUUCUUAAGUAAACAAACAACAAUAUAUAACAAUAUCAGCUGUAACUUCAAUGAUAUCUACACAACAGCACGUUCAUCCCGUAGCUGCUCAAGCAACCCGUGAAUCAAAUUCCCAAAAAUGACACCACCAUUGUCACCAAAAUCAUACACCAUUGCAUGCCUAGAAUGAGAGAUUAUGUAUAGAAACUUUUGGAUUUCUACAAUACUGUUGAUUUUCUUAAAGUCCGAGGACCCAACUUCAAAUUUGUAGAAAUUCAUACAAUUUCGUACUAUUUCCAAUUUUUUUAUCCUUUAAGGAUUUGAGAAAUUUGCCCUCAUACCACAUUGAUAGAUUUUAAUUUCGCAAACCCUAAACCCCUCAAUAAUAUGCUACUAUCCCUAGUAUGAAGGGUUAGGGAGGUCUGAUAGCGGAAACCCCGAAAAAUUUGGGAUUUUGCUAUUGAAGAAGAAUGUUAGUGCUAAUGAUUCUCUAAGACUCAUCUUUGAGCUUGAAUUCCUAGGCUAAGAGAUUCAAGCGCUCUUUUUCGGCUGUGGUGUAAAGGAAUAAUCUGACGAAGAGCUCGUAAUUUUGGUUUGUUGCCCUCGAAAAGGUAAGCACAUCUUUCUCUUUUAAUUUAUUUGUUAUUUCUUCUUCUUCUUCAUGAUAGUAGUAAUUUUUAGUUAUAGUGGAAUUAUUUGCCGUAGAAGGCCUGCAAGACCAUAAAAUUUAGGUGCAAAUAAAAAUUUGUAAUAGUUUCACCUUAGUUGUUAGUUGCUUGAUUUCUGUGAUGCCCUUUUCUUCCUUUACUAUUCGAUUCAUGUUUAAGUGUGUCAAUUGGUGUGACAUUCAUCCUCUUACCUUGCUUUCUUUUUCACUUGAAAUAGUUGAUUGUAAAUAAAUUUUUAGGGUGUCAUUUUGAUUUAUAGAAAAUUUUCAUAGUUGCUCUUAGAAUGUUAGAACAAGUUUCCUUAAGUUUGAAAUGUCUUUCUCAUGGUUAAUAUUAUUAUCAAUCAAAUGUUGGAUUUUGCAGAAAUUAUAUUUUUGAAAUGUCCUGAUCUCUUUUUUAUCAUCAUAAGUUUGGUUUUGCCUAUUUGCUUUCAUAUUUGACUUUGUUGUUGCUUCUAUUGAGCUUGUUUUGAAAUACUGUUUUAAUAAUAAAGUUAGCUCACACCUAGCCUCACACUUUCUUUCUUUUCCAUUCCUACUUACCAGAAAGUAGUUAUACUCUUGUUUAUAUUUUGAUUAUGUCUACUGGUUUAGUUUGAGAUUGAAGAAAAUUUUGGAUUGCUGUUCUGGUGUUUUAUUGGCUAAGUAAUGAAAUGUUCUAGUUUUAAGAUGGGUAUUUCGACCAUGAAGCCUUUCAAUGAGCUUCUGAAGUGUUUACGCAUCACAUGUGUUUCCUCUGUCUAUUCCUAAUUUCAUACUUUGCAGUAAAUGUAUUUCUGAAAUUUAGUUGCAAGGACAUAUUAGAUAUGGUAAAUAUGUUACCACGUUUAAUGUGUCUACUUAAGAGAAUCUGAUUGUUUGAGUAUAUUCUCGUCCCUUUUCUCUCUCUCUCUCUCUCUUCAUAAUAAUCUCAAGAUAUUUGUGAAAUCCUUAACCGUAAGUAUGCAUAAGAUCAGAUAACUUUUCCUACCCGUUUUCAGUUGGUAUCAUUGUCUAAAUAAGUAUCUCGAUGGCCGACGUGUGAAACAAUUUUCUUUAUAUACGGUACAGUGUUCUCUUGCUGAAAUUUUAUGAUGUUUGCUUUGGUAUGGAUAUAAUGCUUUUGUUGCCUUUAAUAGCUUAAAUGAAUAUUCUUCUAAGGACAUAAGCUCUCAUCCCUUCUAUUCUAUUCAUUUUCCUUUUUUAUGAUUGAAUAGAAAUUUUCUUAAUAUGCGUAAUUCAAUUCAGUUUAUAGUCAAUUAUUUUUAUUUCUUGGAGUCUACUGUGAAGUUGUUUAAAAUGUGUAGUAAUGAUUCAUUAAAAGAAUGACUUGUUAACAGGGGUUAUAUCUUUCUUUGAAAGUUUUUAAACACGGACAUGCCUCAUGUCGCCCCUUUUUCAAUUAUUUGCUUUGGUGUUCAAUUGUGUUGAGUUAAUUUUAGUUGAAUUAUUUUGAACUUAUACUAAAUUCUUUUCCAUUUAUCUUUGAUUUUCACUUGAUUCGAAUGAAUCCCAAGGGGACUCCAAUUUCCCAUUACAUUUCGUUGCGCCAAAGCCUACCUAUCUUUGAGUCAUCUUCAACGCGAAUGGGCAAAUGUGCGAGACAGACGAAGGAAGAAGAAAGGGAGGCUAUUAUACAUAUUGAAGACCAUAGAUACAAGUGUAGGUGGCUAAGUAUACAAGCUUUAUGCAUCAGAUAUACGAGAAAACUAGAAAAAUAUACCACUGAUAUACAACCAACAUACAUAUAGAAAAAUGGACCCAAGACUAUGAGUCCAAAAACUGGGCAGGUUCAAUUGGGCCCAACAACCCACUUUAUUCAUUCACUUCAUUUGCAUUGACACUCUAAUGUUAAUCUAAAAUAAAUCCCCUCAAAGUUGCUAUUUUAUUUUACCCACGUACUUUUUUUUGGUUCAUCUUAUCAUUUCCCACAUAUUUUAGCUUCCUUGUUAAAGAAGAAUUAAAAAUGGGUCUUGUCGACUAUUUAUCUUAGACUAAGCAUUUUAAGUUCAUAAAAUGACUUUUGUUUUAUCAUUCAUGUGAACGACAAUUUAUUUAGGCUAAAGAGCUUCCCAAGGAAUUGUUACUUAUUUUUCCC
rnacentral:lncRNA from 1 species